CAGCCCGCCUCGCCGAUUGGCCGGCCUGGCUCCGGCGCGCUUGGCCAAUCAAAAGGGGCGAUGGAGAAGCGGGGGCGGAAGCGCAAAAGGAAAGGGGAAGGGAGAGUCUGGGACAGGAAAGGCUCGGGGCGGAGGGGCCGGGGGCGGGGAGGAGCCUCGCGCGGAGGGAGAAACCCGAGGAAGCCGGGAGAGGCGGGGCCGGCAGGGGGCGGGGUCGCCAGGGUCCAGCCGUCCCGUUUGUGCGGUUCGUGGUCGGGGUGGCCUUGGAUGUUGGGAUUCUGGACUCCGUUCUUUUCUCGUCCGGUGUUACUUGAGCGCUUCAUUCACUCUGGAAAGCAAAGAGCCUCCUGGGUGCUAGGAUUACAGCCAUACCACCAUGCCUGGCCAAGGCAGUCUUCUAAACGUCAGUUGUUACAGAGUCUCUCAGAAGAGUAGAAAAACAGCCAGUUGCCUGGUAAAGGUUUUCACAAGAAUGGGUGACUUCCAUAGCAUCAGUGAAGACAGACUGGUGUCCUGAAGCGGGUUGCUGCCUUGGAUAAUCCCACGUAAGUAUGACGUUAGCUUAAGGCGUUUGCUAGUUUUUGUGCCUAUGAACAUAGACUACAUGUGCAUAGGGCACUCUGUAUACAUGUAUAAUUGUCAAAUAAAAAUUAAAAACAACACAAGACUGAACACUUUCAAGGCACAUAAAUUAUUCUUGAAAUACACACCUCAUAGGAUUUACCGGCAUUCUAUUUUUAGUAUGUUACACAAAACCCUCAAGUCCCUUGGAGACCUUCUCCAGUGGAGUUUCCAUGGAUUCUCCAGAUGCUUUCAGAGUCAAAGGGCUCCUGAUGUUCCGGAUAAGCUUGGUCCCUGCAGAUCACCUGUGACAGGCUUCAGAAGAAUUUUUGUUCAAUCGUUUGAUUUUUUUUUUUCUCACUCCAUCACACUAUUAAGUGCUGGAAAACUCCCUCCUUUCACCCACACACUUAUUCUAACACUCAUUAGGACCUGCCAAAGGUUGCUCACCAUGCAACUGGAAAUACAAAGCUGGGAAGUGUUAGACCAUCUUUUGUAGAACCAAUAAAUAUGAGAAUGUCUUGUACUUCUGUCUUCUGACUACAGUCUCGAGAUCUGUCUGUUCAAACCUUGGUGUUCUCUGUGGCAGAACGUAUGCCUACUAUACUGAUCCCAAAUUAGACUUCCCAGGUUUCAGUUCUACCUAGAAAUAGAGUAUCAGAGGAAAUAUUUACUUUCAAUCAAAGUCCUUGGAAGGCAGAUAGAUACAGGCAGGUCUUUGUGAGUUCAAGACCAGCCAUUUCUAUAUAGUGAAUCCCAGGUCAACCAAGAUUAUAUUGUGAGACCCAUGGGGGGCGUGGUAUUUAAAUUUGCCAUUUUUACACUUUUAAGUGUGAAAAUCCCCUGUGGGUUAUCAGAACGUGCUUUCAGUGGUGUUGGAGAUUGACCCUAGGGCUUUUAUCCAUGCUAGAUAAGCACUGUCAACUGGCCUAUAUACCCAGACCUCUUUUCAUUGUUUGUUUCAUUUGGUUUUGUUUUUGAGACAGCCUCGCACUGUAGCCCAGAUUCAUGAUCCUCCUGUCUCGGCAUCUGAAAUGCUGGAUUUACCAAACCCAACUCUUUGAAGAGCCACCCAUCUCGGACUCCUUCAUUCCUGGCCGUUCUCUCGCAGGCACUCUUAUGAAGUGAUCAGAGGGCAAACUGGCAGAUGACUAAUUUCACCACCACCCCCAUUUGCUACAUUUUUGUAGGAACAAUUUAAAUAGACUGUGUAUUUCCCAUAUUACAAAAUAGAUAGCCUUAAAAAAUAAACAAAAAAAAAGAAAAGAAAAAAAUAUAUAGCCUUUGUCACAGUCCCUAAAAUAAGACAGCAGAAGGAGAUGGAAAGAGAUCACAUAUAGAUUCCGACCCACCCCAUAUGCAACCACUUAGUUUAAUGUACUAUAAUGUAUAUGCACUAUAAUGUAUUGGGUGCUGUGUAGUGUGAUAUGUAAUAAUAUGGAAUAUGGCAUAGCAUGAAUUUGUGUGUAUGCUCUGGGUUGGCUUUAUGCACAUGUGGCUGAUACACUUAUGUAAAGCCCAUGCUUAGUUUAAUGUUUACUGUCACCAUCUUGAAAUUCGUAGUUUUUGAGCAAGGGCUCCACGUCUUCAUUUCAUACUGGUUCUUGCAAAUUGCCUUGUCUGCCUGGUCUGGUGUAGUGUAUAAUCUUUUAAAAUUAUCACAACUUUUUUCCAUGCACUGCUUCAAUUUUUAAAGGAAACGCCUAUAUAGUGUUUCUAUUUUAAAUGUAAAUAAGCACUAUAAAUGCAAAUAGGAUCAUCUUGUGUAGCAUUUUGCAAUCUGCGUUUUCAUUUUGUGACAUUUCUUCCUAUCAGUGUAUUUCAUAGUCUUCAGCGGCGAAAGAAUGCCCUGGUAUGUGGAUAAGCCAUAAUUUGUUUAAUCAACCUAGCAGUCUCCUACUGGCACUCCUGUGGUAAUUUGUUAUGACCUAGAGCAAGCACACUUUAGUGUGUGUUGAGUACUUACCUCACUAACUCCCUAGGGUAAAUUUCUAGGACUUUCUGAGUCAAAGGAUAUGGCUGUUUUAGGGUGUGAAACACACAACCUGAUCGUCCUUCAGAAAGUUUACACAAGGUCAGACCACUCCAGUUCCACCAGCUCUGCACAGUCAGGAUUGUUGCCCUGCACGCUAACUGGCCACAGUAACUCAGCUUCAACCCUGUGCCUCUUUUACUGCCUCCUCUUGUUGGGGAAUAUUGUUUUCGGGUGUGUGACUUUCAUUUACGCUGCAUUUGUCUAACUCUGUGAAGCUGUGUUACUGUGCCUGUGUAAAACACCUGAUUGGUCUAAUAAAGAACUGAACAGCCAAUAGUGAGGCGGGAGCCAGGACAGGCAGGGCCGGUAGGCAGAAAGGAUAAAUCGAAGGCCUUCUGAGAGAAGAACAAGGAGAGGAGGACGGACGUCAGGGGCCAGCCACUUCGCUACACACAGCCAGCCAUGGAAAAAGAAGUAGAGAAAAGUAUACAGAAAUAGAGAAAGAUAAAAGCCCAGAAGCAAAAGGUAGUCAGGAUAAUUUAAGACAAGCUGGCCAGAAACAGGGCAAACAGGCCAGGCAUUAAUAAGCCUCCAUUUGCCUGCAAAUUUCAAGCUGCCAUUGUUUUUUUUUUUGUUGUUGUUGUUUUUUUUUUUUUUUUUUUUUUUUUUACCGCAGGAGUAGUACUCCAUUGUGUAACUGUACCACAUUUUCUUCAUCCAGUCUUUGGUUGAGGGGCAUCUAUGUUGUUUCCAGGUUCUGGCUAUUACAAAUGAUGCUGCUAUGAACAUAGUUGUUCAAAUGUCCUUGUGGUAUGAGUGUGCAUCCUUUGGGUAUGUGCCCAAGAGAGGUAUUGCUGGGUCUUGAGGUAGGUUGAUUCCCAAUUUUCUGAGAAACUGCCAUACUGAUUUCCAAAGUGACUGUACGCUAUGAGCUCACUCAUGAGUGGGUAUUAGACAUAAAGCAAAGGAUAACCAGCCUACAGGCCACAAUCCCAGAGAAGCUAAGAAACAAGGAGGACCCCAAGACAGACAUGUAGACAAUCCUGGGAAGGGGAAAUAGACAAGAUCUCCCAAGUAAGUUGGGAGGGUGGGGGCAGGAGGGAGGAGAACAUAAGGGAGUGGGAUGACUGAGUUGGGGGAAGGACAGAGAAGGAGAGCAAGGAAAGAGAUUUCUUGAUAGAGGGAAACAUUUUGGUGUUAGCAAGAAACCUGGUACUAAGGAAAUUCCCAGGAAUCCACAAGAAUGACCCCAGCUAAGAAUCUAAGCAGUAGUGGAGAGGGGGCCUGAACUGUCUGUCCUUCCCCUGCAAUCAGAUUGAUGAAUACCUUUACUGUCAUCAUAGAGCCUUCAUCCGUAAGUGAUGGAAGCAGAUGCACAGCUAAGCCCUGGGCCAAGCUCCAGGAGUCCAAUCAAAGACAGAGAAGAGAUACUGUGAAUUAAAGGGACAAGACCAUCAUGGGUAAACCCGCAGAAAUAGCUGACCCGAGCUAGUGGGAGCUCGCUGACUCUGGACUGAUGGCUGGGGAACCUGCAUAGAACUGAACUAGGCCCUCUGAAUGUGGGUGACAGUUGUGUGGCUUAGACGGUUGGUAAGGCCACUGGUGGGACUAGUAUUAUCCGUAGUGCAUUCUAGGGGCCCAUUCCCUAUGGAGGGAUACCUUGCUCAGCCUAGAUAUAGGGGGAAGGGCCUUGACCCUGCCUCAAUGUGAUGCAACAGACUUUGUUGACUCCCCACGGGAGACCUCACCCUUUCUGAGGA